CAGCACCAGCGAAUUCAGACGUUGCUGACCGAGUUACAUCGGGUUGCACCAAACAAACGCCACUCGAGUGUAUCAGAGUUGUGGAAAGUUGACAAGAGUUAUUCAUUCAUCAUCGAUGGAAUGGGAA